rnacentral:rRNA from 1 species
AACGAACGCUGGCGGCAUGCCUAACACAUGCAAGUCGAACGAGACCUUCGGGUCUAGUGGCGCACGGGUGCGUAACGCGUGGGAACCUGCCCUUAGGUUCGGAAUAACUCCCCGAAAGGGGUGCUAAUACCGGAUAAUGUCUUCGGACCAAAGAUUUAUCGCCUUUGGAUGGGCCCGCGUUGGAUUAGCUAGUUGGUAGGGUAAAAGCCUACCAAGGCGACGAUCCAUAGCUGGUCUGAGAGGAUGAUCAGCCACACUGGGACUGAGACACGGCCCAGACUCCUACGGGAGGCAGCAGUGGGGAAUAUGGGACAAUGGGCGAAAGCCUGAGCCAGCAAGGCCGCGUGGGUGAUGAGGGCGUUAGGGUUGUAAAGCUCUUUUACCCGGGAUGAUAAUGACAGUACCGGGAGAAUAAGCUCCGGCUAACUCCGU